AACUCAGGAUCUCUGGAAGAGCAGCCAGUGCUCUUAACCUCUGAGCCAUUUCUCCAGCCCUAAACAAAGUUUCUUUAAACAAAGGUCCUCCAAAAAUACCAUCUGACUUUAGAACACACAUGACCUAUAGUAAACUCAAGGGAAAUGACUGCUUCCUCUUGGAAAUGGCAGGUGUUCGUCAGCCUUGUCCAGGUAAUAAGACUACCAUGCUAUGACCUUGCCCUUACCUCACCAUGCUAGAAUCUCAGUGUUCACAUCAUAUGGGGUUAUCCUGAAGAAGCUCUGCCUUCUACAAUCACAUAUCUCUAGGAAACAGUUCCAUGUAGAAACUGUUGAGUAGAAAUCUUACCAACCUGGAUUAGGAGAGGCAGCAUGUGACUUCUGUGGCCUGCUGUCUCACCAGUAAAAGUUAUGAAAUUUCACUGAAAAUAAUGUAAGAAACUUUUCAAAGAGCUCUGUGAGAUGGUGUUUUCCUAUGUUAGAGAAUAUUUGAAAAUAUGUAUGUAAUAUGUCAAGAUUGAAAAACUGGAAGGUUAUAUGAUAAACAACAACAAAACCCCCAGAUUUGGUAGAUAGGGUCAAAUAUUGCAAAUGGUUUAAACAGCUGUCUUCUGGCCAAAGUGCUGAAUAUCUUCAGCAUUUUUAUAGCCACUGAUAUUUUUCUUUCUUUUGUAUUGUCACUUCCACCCCAGCUUCUCUCUUUUAGUGCUGUCAUUGGCUAACCAUCGAUGCUCUACUUUAUGUCCAGAAAUGCUGCAAACAAAAAUGGCAUGGCUUAAAGAAAAUUCUCAUCACAAUACAUGUGUGGCACCUAACACUAUGCUGUGCAUAGUCAUUUGUUGUGGGUCUGUGCUAAGUGUCUGAGGAACUUUACAUUAGUAAGUCAAUCACUCAUAGCACCUAACUCAGAGAAUUGCUGAAAAUAAAAAGGUAAUAUUUGCAACUAUCUUAGCACAGAUGAAGCCUGAUUCAUAGUUAAGUGGUCAGUGAACUCUGAUUACUACAAGGAUGAAACCAUUUUCAAAAGCUUUGUGUUGUGAGCACUGAAAUUUUCAGGAGGAUGCCACAUUCCUCUGGGUGAUCCUGGGAUAAUAACAGGAAGGUUAGAUAUGGAAUUGUUUACUAGGAGACGACAGAGGAAGAUACAGAAGACUCUACUUACCUGAUUCAUUGGAUUUGAUUCAGAUGGGCUUCAAUAAAGCUGUGCUGUGAAUCACCUGUCUCAUAGAACAUCAGGGCCCACGUACAAAUUGUGUACCAUUGAUCACUAUGACAUCAAGGGCAAGAACUCCUACUAGGGGCAGGAAAUUCAUUAGCUUGUUCCUAAAACUCUAGUAUUUACUGAAGUAUCCGGAUAUUUAUACAAAUCACUCAGAUUCUACAAAUGAUAAAGGAAGAGAUCAUUGUGAAAAAAGGUCACUUUUUUGUUUGCUUGUUUGUUGUUGUUGUUGUUUUUUGAGACAGGGUUUCUCCGUAUAACCCUGGCUGUCCUGGAACUCACUUUGUAGACCAGGCUGGCCUCGAACUCAGAAAUCCACCUGCCUCUGCCUCCCGAGUGCUGGGAUUAAAGGCGUACACCACCACGCCCGGCUGCAAAAGGUCACUUUUGAUAUAUUUGCUAUUUUCAGCAAAUGAGUUGCAUAAAUACUCAAUGCCUGCUUUAGUUAAAGAUCAUAUCAGUCAAUGUGAAGAUUACUAUGCUUCAGAAAGCCAAAUUGUUACCAUGGUGAUUCAAUAUUAUGAAAAUAUGUCUUAUAUUCUAGGACAAUAUAGGAACUUUCGCUGAACCUGAAUGACCAAAGUUAGUAAACACUGUGAGAUCACUUAAGGCUGCUAUCCUUCUUUGUUCUCAGCCUGCUUGUUUCACCUGACUUUAAGAGAACAAUAUAGCCAUCAACCUUAUGUAUCUUGGAUUUACCAUAAUCAAUUUUACAACCUAAUCAACACAUAUCUUUAAUUUUAAAUUAUAAACUCCCCUGAGCAAUGCAUGUAUGUGUGUGUAUGUAUGCUAUGAUAAUAAUCAUUUUAUGAAAAUAGCAAAUGUGUCAAAAGUGACCUUAUAAAUAAACAAAUAAAUAAAAAAUGUUCAUUGUAAAUAUUGGAUGCAAUGUGGAUAUGACUUUGUAAAUAUGUUUGUAGUGAUGUUCACAGUAGUGUUUGUUAUCAGUUGGGGUCAGUUGGGAUCAAUGACUCAAUCCCUUGUAAAACUCAUUUAAAGGUUUUUGUAAAGUCCACUCAUUCUUUUCCCUAUGUGGUGCUUUUUGUGUGACAUAGAACCAGGAAAAGACAUAGCAAGACAUCUAGACAUCAAUCAUACAUAGGGACACAGAUUCAGACUCAUCCAAUAUACAUGUUAAAGACCAGAAAACAGAGUUACACAGAGAAGGAAGAUACACGGAGAGUAUUCAAACCAGGGCUCCCUCUUGGUUAAACUACUCCAAGGCAAAUGCUUUGAUCUCUUUCCUUAAUGUGAUAUUGGUGCAUAGUAGUGACUCUGGAUUUACCCCUAAUGUGCUAAAACCCAUGAAAUUAAAAUGUUCGUGCUUUUAUUAGGACAAUCAUUUCAAGUAAAUGUCUAAUAACCCUGAUUGUUGAUUAGACCCAAUAUCAUCAUGGAAUUUGUGGGUUUCCUAUGAGUCCCAACUGUACUUUUUCCUAAACCAAGAAAAAGUAUAACUUAGCGUGC
rnacentral:lncRNA from 1 species